rnacentral:lncRNA from 1 species
UAUGUCAUAACAUGUACAAGACCAAAUGUAGCAUACUCACUAGGGAUAGUGAGUAGAUACCAGUCUGAUCUAAGAGAGAACCACUAGAAGGUCGUAAAGACCAUCCUUAAGUAAUCACAUGUCUGAUCCUUUCUGAUCGAUUCAUUUUUGAUUCUGGAUUCGAGGUCGAACCCUUUGAUUGAGAGUGAUUUCCUGCUUUCAGAGCGGG